rnacentral:rRNA from 1 species
CGCCUACAUGAAGUCGGAAUCGCUAGUAAUCGCGGAUCAGCAUGCCGCGGUGAAUACGUUCCCGGGCCUUGUACACACCGCCCGUCACACCAUGAGAGUUUGUAACACCCAAAGCCGGUGGGGUAACCUUUUAGGAGCUAGCCGUCUAAGGUGGGACAGAUGAUUGGGGUGAAGUCGUAACAAGGUAGCCGUAGGGGAACCUGCG